rnacentral:ncRNA from 1 species
UGGCCCCCCCGGGGGUCCGCGUUGUAAUUUGUAGAGGAUGAUUCGGCGAGGGCUCCCGCCUAAGUCCCCUGGAACGGGGCGUCAUAAAGGGUGAGAAUCCCGUAUGCGGUGGGCUGCCUUAGCCAUGUGAAUCUCCUUCGACGAGUCGAGUUGUUUGGGAAUGCAGCUCUAAAUGGGAGGUAAAUUUCUUCUAAAGCUAAAUACCGGCCAGAGACCGAUAGCGCACAAGUAGAGUGAUCGAAAGAUGAAAAGCACUUUGGAAAGAGAGUUAAAAAGUACGUGAAAUUGUUGAAAGGGAAGCGCUUGCAGCCAGACUUGUCCGCAGUUGCUCAGCCGGUCUCCUGACCGGCGCACUCUUCUGCGGCCAGGCCAGCAUCAGUUCGGGCGGUCGGAUAAAGGCCCCGGGAACGUAGCUCCUCUCGGGGAGUGUUAUAGCCCGGGGUGGAAUGCGGCCAGCCUGGACUGAGGAUCUCGCUUCGGCUAGGAUGCUGGCGUAAUGGCUGUAAGCGGCCCGUCUUGAAACACGGACCAAGGAGUCUAACAUCUAUGCGAGUGUUUGGGUGUCAAACCCAUGCGCGUAAUGAAAGUGAACGGAGGUGGGAACCCUCGCGGGUGCACCAUCGACCGAUCCUGAUGUCUUCGGAUGGAUUUGAGUAAGAGCAUAGCUGUUGGGACCCGAAAGAUGGUGAACUAUGCCUGAAUAGGGUGAAGCCAGAGGAAACUCUGGUGGAGGCUCGCAGCGGUUCUGACGUGCAAAUCGAUCGUCAAAUUUGGGUAUAGGGGCGAAAGACUAAUCGAACCAUCGACUACUAGGUGGUUAAGAGGUGGCUGAAAGUGCCCACCUAGUCCCCCCGUCCGAGGACGGGGGGGCGACAUCGCCAAAUUGCGGGGACUCCCUUAGAGCCUCUACUACCGCGGCCGGCCGAAAGGCGCGGUGCAGCACCGGGUUAAUUGCCUAGGGUACGGUAAAAAGGUAGAGGAUUGGGAAAUCCGCAGCCAAGCGCCUAAGUCCCGCGGGAUACGGCGAAGGUUCAGAGACUAGAUGGCGGUGGGUCCGGCCCGAGGGCCGGGC